UUGCGGUUUUCAACCCGACUUGGUCGAAUUGAAGUUAAGGCAACUCAACUUCAGAUCAACCAAACUCUUUUUCGGUAUUGCGAACUUCAACUAAGUUCAGUCGAAGUAUGAUUGGCGUUGCCAACCUAAGAAAGGGAAAUUUGACAGAUAGUGAAACAGCUAAAAUUUUGUAAACGACAUAUUUAAACAAUUGAAUUCAGUUGUCGCUCGCGAAAAAGUGAAUAAACAUAUAUAAUAAACAAUAAAUAAAAAAUGGAUAUAAGUUUUGAUUUAUAUUACAAUGACGAAAAUACUGGGGGCAAAAUUGAUGUGCUACGUAUACGAAAAAGCCUUCGUGAUCACUCAAAUCCAUUGGAGCUUCCAAAUGCAAAAUUCAUAAGUUAUUUUCGAUUAAAUAAAGAAGCAUUUUGUUUUACUACAUUACUGAAUGAGAUGAAGGAACAUUUCCACAAACGUGUGCAAGGAUCGGCCAUACCUCCAAUAUUAAAAUAAUGCACAACUCUGCGUUUCCUUGCUGACGGUGGUUAUCAAAAAUGCAGUGGAAAUGAUUUUAACAUUGGGUUGGCGCAACCUACGAUAUCUUUAGUAAUUAAAGAGGUUCUAAAUAUAAUUGAACAACGUAUUAGUGCCCAAUGGAUUAAAAUUCAAAUGACUGAGGAGGAGCAAAACGCUUCAAAAGUUUCAUUUUAUUCAAAGAGUGCUUUCCCGGGAGUAGUUGGUUGUAUCGACGGGACUCAUGUUCGCAUAAUCACCAAGAAAAGAAGUGCAACAUCUUUAUCUUAACAGAAAGGGCUACUACAGUUUAAACGUGAUGAUUGUAUGUAUAAAAUCUGAAUUAUAUUAGAAACAAAAUGGUAUAAUUUCUUAAAAUUUUUAGCUUUGUGAUUAUAAAAUGUCUAUUCGGUAUGUGGAUGCUAGGCAUGCAGGCGCAAAUCAUGACUCUUUUGUUUUCAAUGUUAGCGAUUUGAAAGUGCAUUUACAGAACAACAUACAGAAUAACACUUGGAUCUUGGGCGACGCUGGCUAUCCUCUGCACAAAUUUUUAAUGACGCCUUAUCGCUUGGCGGAAGCUUCUUCACCCCAAGCACGCUACAAUACAGUACACUCAAAGGCCCGGAAUAUUGUAGAGCGGACAAUUGGUGUACUCAAGAGUAGAUUUCGAUGUCUUUUAUCUGUACGAGGUUUACAUUACACUCCCGAAAAGCUACGCAAAUUGUGAAUGCUUUGUGCGCAUUACACAAUAUUUGCCAACACUUUCAAGUGGAAUCUCCGGAAGAAAUACCAUCUACUUCACAUACUACAAUGACCAAUGAUGUUUUGGACAUAGAAAGAGAAGAAGAGGAUACGGCUCGAAUAAUUCGCAAUAAUAUUAUGACUUCCCUCUAAAUAAUUAAAAUAUUAAAUUUCAUUUAUUAUUUCUAAUGUGCUAUUUAUUCAGGCAUACAUUUAAAUUUUAUUAAAAUAAAUUCAUUAAAUAACAAUAUCACUUCAUUUUUUAAUGUAAACUUAAACUAUGGUACAAAAAUAUAAAAUAUCACUUCAUUCCAGAAUA